CUUCAAUGAUGAUUGUUCUUUAGUGCCACGACUCUGUGCCACGAAAUGUCAAUGAUGGUGAGAAGGAACUGAUGAAG
ensembl:snoRNA small nucleolar RNA SNORD66